CCAAAGAAAACUCGUAUGAAUGGACGACACAUAAAUUUGAAUCGAAUGUUUGAUGAUAACAAAGGGCCACUACCACUUGAAAUUGAACUUACGGGAAAACAAUUUAAGUUUUGUGGAGACAAUUACCAAGUUUACAUACGGUGUGUCUCAAAUAAUGUUCCAAAAUUUGUCCCUUUUCACUAUCCAAAUUGGAAAGAUGUCCCUGCAAAAUUCAAAAACAAAGUGUAUCUCGAAGUGCAUGUAAGUAUACAAUAUAAUGUUUUAUUUUGAUUUAAAUCUUAUAAUUUUUAGAUGUGUAAUAAUCCUUUCUUUUGUAGAACUAUUUUGAUGUUGAAGCUUUCCGAGACGCACCUUUCUGGAAUCAAAUGAUUCAAGGAAUCGAUAGUGAUUUU
rnacentral:lncRNA from 1 species